UACGUAGGGCGCAAGCGUUGUCCGGAAUUAUUGGGCGUAAAGAGCUCGUAGGCGGUUUGUCGCGUCUGCUGUGAAAACCUGAGGCUCAACCUCGGGCUUGCAGUGGGUACGGGCAGACUAGAGUGCGGUAGGGGUGACUGGAAUUCCUGGUGUAGCGGCGGAAUGCGCAGAUAUCAGGAGGAACACCGAUGGCGAAGGCAGGUCACUGGGCCGCAACUGACGCUGAGGAGCGAAAGCGUGGGGAGCGAACAGG
rnacentral:rRNA from 1 species